GGAAUGAGGGUAGCUGCGGCGACUGCGGCGGCUGGAGCGGGGCCGGCCAUGGCGGUGUGGACGCGGGCCACCAAAGCGGGGCUGGUGGAGCUGCUCCUGAGGGAGCGCUGGGUCCGAGUGGUGGCCGAGCUGAGCGGGGAGAGCCUGAGCCUGACGGGCGACGCCGCCGCGGCCGAGCUGGAGCCCGCUCUGGGACCCGCGGCCGCCGCCUUCAACGGCCUCCCAAACGGCGGCGGCGCGGGCGACUCGCUGCCCGGGAGCCCAAGCCGCGGCCUGGGGCCCCCGAGCCCGCCGGCGCCGCCUCGGGGCCCCGCGGGUGAGGCGGGCGCGUCGCCGCCCGUGCGCCGGGUGCGGGUGGUGAAGCAAGAGGCGGGCGGCCUGGGCAUCAGCAUCAAGGGCGGCCGCGAGAACCGGAUGCCGAUCCUCAUCUCCAAGAUCUUCCCCGGGCUGGCUGCCGACCAGAGCCGGGCGCUGCGGCUGGGCGACGCCAUCCUGUCGGUGAACGGCACCGACCUGCGCCAGGCCACCCACGACCAGGCCGUGCAGGCGCUGAAGCGCGCGGGCAAGGAGGUGCUGCUGGAGGGCCUAUAAUGAGGAAAUUUCUGUCUGACCAAUAUCAGGGGCACAUCAGCUGCUGUACUAAGUUUCUUCAAAUAUCCUGGAAUUGUGUCAAGUUCAUCCGAGAAGUAACACCAUAUAUCAAGAAGCCAUCAUUAGUAUCAGAUCUGCCGUGGGAAGGUGCAGCCCCCCAGUCACCAAGCUUUAGUGGCAGUGAGGACUCUGGUUCGCCAAAACACCAGAACAGCACCAAGGACAGGAAGAUCAUCCCUCUCAAAAUGUGCUUUGCUGCUAGAAACCUAAGCAUGCCGGAUCUGGAAAACAGAUUGAUAGAGCUACAUUCUCCUGAUAGCAGGAACACGUUGAUCCUACGCUGCAAAGAUACAGCCACAGCACACUCCUGGUUCGUAGCUAUCCACACCAACAUAAUGGCUCUCCUCCCACAGGUGUUGGCUGAACUCAACGCCAUGCUUGGGGCAACCAGUACAGCAGGAGGCAGUAAAGAGGUGAAGCAUAUUGCCUGGCUGGCAGAACAGGCAAAACUAGAUGGUGGAAGACAGCAAUGGAGACCUGUCCUCAUGGCUGUGACUGAGAAGGAUUUGCUGCUCUAUGACUGUAUGCCGUGGACAAGAGAUGCCUGGGCGUCACCAUGCCACAGCUACCCACUUGUUGCCACCAGGUUGGUUCAUUCUGGCUCCGGAUGUCGAUCCCCCUCCCUUGGAUCUGACCUUACAUUUGCUACCAGGACAGGCUCUCGACAGGGCAUUGAGAUGCAUCUCUUCAGGGUGGAGACACAUCGGGAUCUGUCAUCCUGGACCAGGAUACUUGUUCAGGGUUGCCAUGCUGCUGCUGAGCUGAUCAAGGAAGUCUCUCUAGGCUGCAUGUUAAAUGGCCAAGAGGUGAGGCUUACUAUUCACUAUGAAAAUGGGUUCACCAUCUCAAGGGAAAAUGGAGGCUCCAGCAGCAUAUUGUACCGCUACCCCUUUGAAAGGCUGAAGAUGUCUGCUGAUGAUGGCAUCCGAAAUCUAUACUUGGAUUUUGGUGGUCCCGAGGGAGAACUGACCAUGGACCUGCACUCUUGUCCGAAGCCGAUUGUAUUUGUGUUGCACACGUUUUUAUCGGCCAAAGUCACUCGUAUGGGACUGCUUGUAUGAGCAACAAAAAAUCAGAAAAGAGCCUUGACUGUCACAAGAAAUAUUUCCACCUCAAAAAAAAAAAAGCACAAAAAGAAACUCUUUGCUCUCCUUCAGCACAGUGCCUUCCCAAGGACCUGCAAAUAACUGCUGAACCAUAACCGUGUUUAAAGAAGAGCCUACCUUUCACAGUCUACCUUGGCCAGAUAUUCUAGCACUCUAAAAGGCUCCAAAAUGAAGCUGUUGAUUUAUUCUCAUUUCAAAAUAUGGUUUAUGAGUAAUUAGGUUUAUUUCUACUGCUAAAAAGAAUGGCUCAUUGUUUUCUUUUUUUUUCAUUGUUUUCAUUUUUAGACAUAAUCAAAUACCCAAGCAUUGUUUUCUUUUUCUUCUCCCUGUAGGAUUUGUGUUGUGCUUAGCCUUGAUCUCUUGUUCAGAACAAUUGUCCCUUCCCAGGUGCUAGCUUGCAGCAGCCUGUUGCUUCCUGAGCAUUCCAGAUAGGUCGUAUGUCUUGGAAUUUACUGUCCUCACUAGCUCCUUCCACCAUAGGAAGUCCUUGAAUUGUAUCACCAAAGGGUUGUUCCAUUUGCCCUGGAUCUCCCUCUAUCUCAGCCUGGCCAUCACUUCCCACCUUAUCCCAAGCUUUGCCACUGUCUCUAGGACUUAGAACUUGUAAAUUUGAUUUGCCUUGCCUUCUACUUCCUUUCUAGUGGUGACUGAGUUGAAAAGCAAGUUGGAAGCCACUGCUUUUAAAGAAAAGUUUUGCUUGGUUUAGGUUUUUCCAAUUUUAUUUUUGUUAGGAGCCAGGGGAUAAGAUUUAUUUUAAAUGAAAAUCCUCUUCCUAGGUUAAGCCAUUUUUUUUAUUGCUUACCAAAUGUGCCUUUGGUUAGGGUUAGUGGAGCUUUAUUAGUCACUAUUUGAAUAACUGGAAAUCACUGCCAUUUCCAGGAGAUCACCUAUCCUAGUUUUGAGGAAUAGUCAUUGAGGUGGGUUUCCUUAAUGGCAUCUCUUCUAGUAGGCAGAUCUGUUUGAACAAGAUAAAUCCUAAAGAGCCAGCCUGCUUGAGGAGUAGACUUGGUGGGUGAAGCCAGCAAUUCCGCACAAACGUCAUGUUGAAUUGUUUUGGGCUGCCCAAAAACAACAGGAUGCAGCAUCCUGGCUGUGGCCUGGCCCUUUGUGGCAGCAGUGGCAUGGACAAGCAACUGCUAAUUCGAGACUUACUAUUGGCUUCACAGCACACCCUACAGUGAGCAGGGUGAUGAGACCGUGGAACAGCUACCUGCUUUUGGUUAAGAUUGCCAGAUAUCAUUAGGACACAGUAGCAGCAAGAAUGCUGAUUUUGUAGUGUUAGAAAAUGAACUCAGCUUGUUUUUCCUAAUUUUGAAGGUGGUAUAUAUCUGCAAACAUUUAAAAUGGUAUAAUAUCAUAUAAAAUGUCAAAAUUAGCACAGUCCCUGGAUCUCAAAGAAUAGGUAAUAUUGACUUGGAUGUUCUUUAUGCUCUCUGAAGAAAGGUCUAGGGAAAGUUCUUGUUUGCUUGAUUGAUCAAGAGUGCCACGGAAGAAUGUGAGCGCUGUGGAGGGUGGAGGAGGGUGUCACUUCAGAUGGGGCAGGCACAGGGGGAGAAAAGAAGAGAAAAACACACCUGUGUGCAAAAUGAGCUAUUUGGUUUCAGUGCGGCCUGACCGAUGGGGAGGACCCAUGAGCAGAGAGAGUUCUAGGUCAACAUUGUAACUCCAUUGUCCUCCUUCACCCAUAAGUCAGUCCUCCUUCCUCAUUACAGUGAAACCAACAAUAUGCAGAGGUUGGGGAGAGAUGCCUGUUCUUCCCCCAGCUUCAUAUAAUUGUCAAAGUUCCAAAAAUGAAUUAUCUGAACUGCUUAAAACUGGAAAUUAAAAUCUAGACAAGAAUAUGUCUUUCAAGAGCUUUUUAUGUUUUGAAAGUUCAUAAACCUAAGAUUGGCUCCAUCUGAGAUAAAUUUUCUUUUCUUUUUUUUUUUGAGACGGAGUCUCGUUCUGUCUCCCAGGCUGGAGUGCAGUGGCAUGAUCUCGGCUCACUGCAACCUCCACCUCCUAGGUUCAAGUGAUUCUCCUGAGUAGCUGGGGUUAUAGCUACCCACCACCACACCCAGCUAAUUUUUGUAUUUUUAGUAGAGGCAGGUUUUCACCAUGUUGGCUAGGCUGGUCUUGAACUCCCGACCUCAAGUGAUCCACCUGCCUUGGCCUCCCAAAGUGCUGGGAUUAUAGGUGUGAGCCCCCGUGCCUGGCCCACAAUAAAUUUUCAUUUCAGAGAAGGAAAAAAAUCUCUUGAACGUCCAGAAAUGAUUUCUGGAAUCAGAAUUUCAAUAUGUAAUACCCUCAGGUAGGCAAUCUUGAACCCUCUAUGCAGUGAGAGCAUUAUUAAUAUGAGAUGUUGAAUGAUGCCUUUACAGACUUCAGCAGCAAAGCCAUUUGGUUGAGGUUUUCUGUGUUAAUGUGAAAAGCUAAGCCACUGAGAUUUGCAGGGGAGCUUCUGAGCCACCCUGCUUGUUGGUUAUAUGAGGAUGUAAAAUAGGUGGAAUUAAAAUGUGAGCAGGAAAGGCAAGGCAUGUGUGCAUUUUCACUCAUUUUGGUCAAGGUUAAACUGACAUGUAUAGCACUGAGGUCUGUAGGGUUCUUAAUAUCUUUUGAGUCUUGCUGUGAAAUGAAAGUGUGGGAGGUUUCCUUUGUCCAUUAGCAGCCCCAAGAACCAGAACCCUUUUGCUGCUUUUCUUACAUACCUAACAGCUCUCCAGUCAUGAUGACCAAGGUUGUUCUUCAAUCAAAUGUGUUUGUGGGAUUUUCAGUCCGCAAAUGAAGUGCUCUCUAAUGAAUGGGACACCAUGAUAAAUAUGUAUUUAUAUUUAGAUGCCAAAGUAUGGCAAAUUAUUUCCAAAUGAUAACUACAAAUGGGAAUUUUCGAUAUUCUACCUUUUUUAUAGAACCAGCUCACUUUUCAUUUCUUUUUCAUUUUGAAUUAAGAAAAUUGUUGAGGAUGUGGUGGGUUCCAGUGUGUGGAAUGGAAAGGAAACUGCAGAAUAGUGUCUGCUCCCCAUUCAGAGGGACUGCUUCCUGUGCCCCCCAGACCCGGGGCUUCGACAGCUUCUCCACAUUCCACACAGAUGCCUAGGAGCAGCGAGUUGGUAUAUGAAAAGUCUCCCACCUUUUCUCCUAAAACUUCUCUCCUUUCUCUCCAUAAAAAGAAAAGGAAAGGAACAAAAGAAAAACAUUCAGUUUUUCUUUUUCUGAAAAAGGUAAGUCCUUUCCUGAAGUCAUCAAAUGAAACAUUAUCUGGAAAUUAGUUUCUAAUGUUGUAUAUGAAGAAAUACUUAAAUAUAAGUUCCUGCAGUAUUUAUUAGAUAGUUGUAACUGUAAACUCACCUCCCUAGUAGAUAAGAGUUUCAGGUUAAAUACUGGAACAUAUAUAGGCAGUCAAAAAUACUACUUUAAAUGUCAUUCACCUAUUUUAAAGCCAUGUUUUAGCACUUUUUAGGCCAAAGAAGGUCUGAUAGUGCCUGUUUUUAUGUUCUGUACUCUCACAAACUUUGUUACUCAAAAUUAUUGCAUGGCAGGAGAGAUUGGAUUAUUUAUUUCUUAUAUUUUUAUAAGUAAAAAAAUCUUUCUAAACAACAAAUACCUAACAUUAUUACUGAUUGUUUUCCUAAUUUAUCCUCCUAAGUUGAAUGGUAACAAAGCUUUUCCAGCUGAAUGAAUGCACUUAGCUGAUAAACCAGAAUUUGUUCUUUUUUUUCCUUCUUUUUUUUUUGAGACAGGUUCUCACUCUGUCACCGAGGUUGGAGUGCAGUGGUAUGAUCAUAGCUGACUGCAGCCUCAACCUUCUGGGCUCAAAUGAUCCUUUCACCUCAGCCUCCUGAGUAGCUGGGACCACAGGUGUGUGCCACCACACCUGGCUAAUUUUUAUGGAUUUUUUUUUCUUUUUUUUUUUUCGCCAUGUUGCCCAGGCUGGUCUUGAACUCUUGGCACUCAAGCAGUCCUUCUGCCUCAGCCUCCCAAAGUGCUGGGAUUACAGAUGUGAGCCACUGCACCUGGCCCCAGAAAUUAUGCUUAAAAAAAAAAUUAAGCUGUGUGGAAUCUGGACAAGGCUAUGUUUCUCCUAGAAACAGGUUUUGCUGUAAAUGGUUUUGAUGGGCGAAAGUGUGAGAAAAGGUUAUAAUAGAUUCUUUUUUUUAAUUUUGUGAGAAAUUCCAGGUCUUCUUGCUUAACUUAUAUGCAUGUGGAUAUAUUUGUUUUCAAAGCCAUGGAAGAAUCUCUGUUCAUAUAUUUUAAUGCAAAUUACCUUGUAUGCUGCUAUGCAAAUUCUAUUAAAAGGCCUACCUGCUUAAGAAUUAAACAUUUUUGAAACUUUCAGGGAAGACCUGUAGACUCAAGCACUUUCUCUGCUUUUUUGUAUCUUAUCUUGGACACUUAUGCUGAAUUAUGUUCUUAUUAUUUUCACUGGUUAUAAGCUAUUCCUUGUACAUAAUAUUUAAACUAUCCAAAUAUCCAGCAUACAUUUCCAUGUGGCUGCCAUCGGCUGUUGAUGCCAUGAAUGAAAUGGCUGGUUAGAAAGCCAAAGGUCUUCUUUUUUCAAUUCCUAAUGAAUAAGUAAAAUGCCAGAUCUCUUUGGUCUCAAAGCAAAUUGCUCUGAUCAGAUCAAAUAUCUAUGUAAUGAAAAGAGACUUACUUAAAUUUGGGAUUCUGCUUAAACUUUAAGUUGAAUUUGACUGUAGUCAUUCAUUCUUUUUAUAUAUCUCUGUCAGGUAUGACAUUAAUUACCAGGUGGUAUUAUACUCUACUUUGAGUUUGGACAUCACUUUCAGUUAAAUUUCUGUUGUUAUUGUGGCUUUUUUUUUUUUUUAACCCCACUGAAGAUGGAAGUAGAGCAGUCUGCCAUCUCCUGCUGUUCUUUCUCUGUGCCCCCUAAUUGCUUGGUAAUCUAAAAUUAUUCUGACUUUCCACAUACUGUCUUUAAAAACCAAUUGUAGCAAUCUGCCCGCCUCCACCCUUUAAGCUAAAUCUUUCACUGUGCUGGAUACAUAGACACUCGAUAAAUGUGUGAUGAUAGUUCUAAAAUAAUUAUGCUAUAUAUCAGGGUUCUGUAUUUUUGAGCAAUAUCAUUAUUCCUAUGCUGUGAUGUUAAAUGGAAUUUAUUUUACACUAGUAAUAGACUGCUUAAGUGGCUGAUUUGAAACCUUUCUCUAAAAAAACAAAAACAUCUGGCAGAUGAGUGACACAAAUUCAUUCUCUUAAAGGAUAGAAUUUCAAGUUAAGGAUAAGGCACAAUAAAUAGGCACAUAGAGGACAUCUGUUUUUGUUUUUGGUUUUGGUUUUGUUUUUUUUUGUCUCUCUGACUAGCUAAACUGCCAACUAGAAGAAUGGUUGUUAUGUAGUAACUCAGAAGAAUCUUUUAAUAAGUUUCUUCUUUUGUUUCAAAACAAACUUGAGCUUCAUUUCUUGCCACCUCUAUUCUUUCUUCCCACGUUGGGUGACUGAACUGAUGCUUAUUCUAGUUUUAGAAGAGGAUCCACAUUUAAUGUAAGGCAUAAAUAUGCCUUUUGCAAAUUAUUGCUUGUUCUCCAGUGAACAUUUGAUCAUAUUCAACAGAAAUCCACCAUAUAAACCAUAAUCCUUGAAUUGCCCCUUUUAAAAUAGAUUGGUUAAAACCAAAAACCUAUAAGAGAGAAAUGAUAUUUCAUUGUAUUGUAGGUUUGGGAAUCCUGGUUAGAUUUAUAAUUUCUGGCCGGGUGCGGUGGCUCAUGCCUGUAUUCCCAGUACUUUGGGAGCCCAAGGUGGGUGGAUCACCUGAGGUAAGGAGUUUGAGACCAGCCUGGCCAACAUGGUGAAACCCCAUCUCUACUAAAAAUACAAAAAGUUAGCUGGGCAUGGUGGUGCGCGCCUGUGGUCCCAGCUACUCGGGAGGCUGAGGUGGGAGAAUCCCUUGAACCCAGGAGGCAGAAGUUGCAGUGAGCUGAGAUCAUGCCAUUGCACUCCAGCCUGGGCAACAGAGCGAGACUUCAUCUCCAAAAAAAGAAAAAGAAGAAAAAGAUUUAUAAUUUCUGAGUCCCCUAAGUCCCUUUCUCAGUUUGCAAUAAUCUUACGUCCAUGCUAUUGACACUAAUUUUGAAACUGGAAAGCUAAUUAAUGACAUAUUCAUGUGUUCUUUCAUCUAAUAAACAUUUAUUAAUGUAUAGUUCUACACCAGGCAUUCUGAAGGGUCCAAAAGAAAGUUCCUGCCCUCUAGUAGCACAUAAUCCGUUAUUUCUCAGCACACCAUGCCAUCUGUUUAUCAUUCAGCAGUUAAGUAAUUCAUCACUUCAUAUUUUUACCAAAGUAUAUUUACAAGUCUGUUUAUCUGGAUCUGGCAAACUGGAAAAUGUUUGAAGGGAUACUCAGGCUUUGAUCCAUGCCAACAUGAAAGGACUCCAAGCACAUUUAAGUAGGCUGGUCUUUUCAUCAUGCAUGAUUUUUUUUUUAGUGCAAAUUUAGACUUUAGUUUGGGAAAGAGAACAGUAUACAGUAUCCUUUGUAAGAUAAAUCACAACAACAAAAAUUAAGUUUUAUUGCACAAAGUAGAUAAAUGAGAAAGUCUUUCUUAAAAAAUGCUUCUUUAACUGUAACAGCAAAACUAAAUGCAUAUUUUAUCAACCCCUUAUUUCUAAUUGCUGUAUUCAUUUCCACCCUUAAACUAUUUAAGCAUUUCAUCUGCUGAAAGUCCUUAUAUACAUGGUAGACGGAAUAUUUCUCCAUUAAUGAUAGAUCAAAAUGAAGAUAUUUAAAAAUUAACAAAAUCAGGCCAAGGCAGGAGGAUCACUUUAGCCCAGGAGGUCCAGACCAGCCUGGGCAACACAGCGGGACCCCGACUCCAUUUAAAAAAUUAAAAAAAAAAAAAAAACUUUUAACAUUUAAAAAAUAAAAAUUAACAAAAUUUCACUUAUUCCAGGACACGCUGGCAUUUGGACUCAAUGAAAAGGGCACCUAAAGAAAAUAAGGCUGACUGAAUGUUUUCCAUAAUUUUCACACAAUAACAGUCCCUUUCUAUCCAGCUUGCCUUCCAUUUAUCUCUAGGGUUAGCUUUUCAGGCAACAUCCUUGGUCAUUGCCCAGAAAGUACCUGAGCUAUCAGUGAUUGGAAUGGCACAGGAAACCGAAUCACAUGGGUGCCCUCCCCUUGGUUUUCAAGUAUCUUGGAGUUGUGCACAAAAAUUAGGUCAUGCCUUCAGUGUCUUGUUCUUUAAACCUACCCUUUGACAAUCAGGUGCUAAUGAUUGUAUACUAUUAAAACCAGCACAUAAGUAUUGUAAAUGUGUGUUCCUCCUAGGUUGGAAGAAAUGUCUUUCCUUCUAUCUGGGUCCUGUUAAAGCGGGUGUCAGUUGUGUCUUUUCACCUCGAUUUGUGAAUUAAUAGAAUUGGGGGGAGAGGAAAUGAUGAUGUCAAUUAAGUUUCAGGUUUGGCAUGAUCAUCAUUCUCGAUGAUAUUCUCACUUUGUCGCAAAUCUGCCCUUAUCGUAAGAACAAGUUUCAGAAUUUUCCCUCCACUAUACGACUCCAGUAUUAUGUUUACAAUCCAUUGGAUGAGUGCAGCAUUAUAAGACCUUGGUGCCCAGAAAAAUCUGUCCUUUUUGGUACCAAACCUGAGGUCUUUUGGAAGAUAAUGUAGAAAACCACUACCUAUUGAAGGCCUGUUUUGGCUAAUCUGUGCAAACUCUGAUGAUACCUGCUUAUGUGGAUUCUUUUCCACACUGCUUUCAUUUUUAAGUAUAAAGACUUAGAAAACUAGAAUAAUGCUUUUACAAAUAAUUAAAAGUAUGUGAUGUUCUGGGUUUUUUCCUUCUUUUUAGAACCCUGUAUUUAAACAAGCCUUCUUUUUAAGUCUUGUUUGAAAUUUAAGUCUCAGAUCUUCUGGAUACCAAAUCAAAAACCCAACGCGUAAAACAGGGCAGUAUUUGUGUUCCUAAUUUUAAAAAGCUUUAUGUAUACUCUAUAAAUAUAGAUGCAUAAACAACACUUCCCCUUGAGUAGCACAUCAACAUACAGCAUUGUACAUUACAAUGAAAAUGUGUAACUUAAGGGUAUUAUAUAUAUAAAUACAUAUAUACCUUUGUAACCUUUAUACUGUAAAUAAAAAAGUUGCUUUAGUCA